GGGGGAAUUUUGCGCAAUGGGGGAAACCCUGACGCAGCAACGCCGCGUGAGUGAUGAAGGCCUUCGGGUCGUAAAGCUCUGUCAGAGGGGAAGAAGUGUGAGGUGGCUAAUAUCCAUUUCACUUGACGGUACCUUCAAAGGAAGCCCGGCUAACUCCGUGCCAGCAGCCGCGGUAAUACGGAGGGUGCGAGCGUUGUUCGGAAUUAUUGGGCGUAAAGCGCGUGUAGGCGGUUUUUUAAGUCUGAUGUGAAAGCCCUGGGCUCAACCCGGGAAGUGCAUUGGAAACUGGGAGACUUGAAUACGGGAGAGGGCAGUGGAAUUCCUGGUGUAGGAGUGAAAUCCGUAGAUAUCAGGAGGAACACCGGUGGCGAAGGCGGCUGCCUGGACCGAUAGUUACGACGC
rnacentral:rRNA from 1 species